GUGGGGAAUAUUGGGCAAUGGGCGAAAGCCUGACCCAGCAACGCCGCGUGAAGGAAGAAGGUCUUCGGAUCGUAAACUUCUAUCCUUGGUGAAGAUAAUGACGGUAGCCGAGAAGGAAGCCCCGGCAAACUACGUGCCAGCAGCCGCGGUAAUACGUAGGGGGCAAGCGUUGUCCGGAAUGAUUGGGCGUAAAGGGCGCGUAGGCGGCCUGGUAAGUCUGGAGGGAAAGUCCUGCUUUUAAGGUGGGAAUUGCUUUGGAUACUGUCGGGCUUGAGUGCAGGAGAGGUAAGCGGAAUUCCCGGUGUAGCGGUGAAAUGCGUAGAGAUCGGGAGGAACACCAGUGGCGAAGGCGACUUACUGGACUGUAACUGACGCUGAGGCGCGAAAGUGUGGGGAGCAAACAGGAUUAGAUACCCUGGUAGUCC
rnacentral:rRNA from 1 species